rnacentral:rRNA from 1 species
UCUGAGACGUGAUACCGAGCCGCUUCAGGCGAAGUCAUUAAUCCUAUGCUGCCUAGAAAAGCCCAGUAGCGAGUUGACAUGGUGCCCGUACCCCAAACCAACACAGGUGGACAGGUAGAGCAUACCAAGGCGAGUGGGAUAACUAUGGUUAAGGAACUCGGCAAAUUUCCUCCGUAACUUCGGGAUAAGGAGGACCCCAGUAGCGUGACGAGACUUGCUCUCUGAGCGUGAGGGGGUGGCACAAAAUUGAGGGAAGCGACUGUUUACCAAAAACACAGCAGCGUGCUAAGCCGUAAGGCGCUGUAUACGCUGUGACUCCUGCCCGGUGCUGGAAGGUUACGGGGAUGGGUUAGUCCUUCGGGACGAAGCUCUGAACCUAAGCCCCAGUAAACGGCGGCCGUAACUAUAACGGUCCUAAGGUAGCGAAAUUCCUUGUCGGGUAAGUUCCGACCUGCACGAAUGGAGUAACGACUUCCCUACUGUCUCAACCAUAGACCCAGCGAAAUUGAAGUACGAGUAAAGAUGCUCGUUAGCUGCAGAAGGACGGAAAGACCCCGUGGACCUUUACUAUAACUUGAUGUUGUGUUUUGUCAUAUGUUGUGUAGGAUAGGUGGGAGACAAGGAAGCAUGGACGCUAGUCUGUGUGGAGUCAUCGUUGAAAUACCACCCUGCAUAUGGUGAGGCUCUAACCUAGACCCGUUAUCCGGGUUGGGGACAGCGUCAGGCGGGUAGUUUAACUGGGGCGGUUGCCUCCUAAAGAGUAACGGAGGCGCCCAAAGGUUCCCUCAGCCUGGUUGGCAAUCAGGCGUCGAGUGCAAUGGCAAAAGGGAGCUUGACUGCGAGACCUACAAGUCGAGCAGGAGCGAAAGCUGGGCAUAGUGAUCCGGCGGUUGCGUGUGGAAGCGCCGUCGCUCAACGGAUAAAAGGUACCCCGGGGAUAACAGGCUAAUCUUGCCCAAGCGUCCAUAGCGACGGCAAGGUUUGGCACCUCGAUGACGGCUCAUCGCAUCCUGGGGCUGAAGCAGGUCCCAAGGGUUGGGCUGUUCGCCCAUUAAAGCGGUACGCGAGCUGGGUUCAGAACGUCGUAGACAGUUCGGUCCCUAUCCUCUGUAGCCGUAGGUGAAUUGAGGAAAGCUGUCCCUAGUACGAGAGGACCGGGACGGACGCAGCUCUCGUGUGCCAGUUGUCCUGCCAAGGGCAUGGCUGGUUAGCGACCUGCGGAAAGGAUAACCGCUGAAAGCAUCUAAGCGGGAAGCCUCUUCCGAGAUGAAUUCACCCACAGGGUUAACCUGGUAAGGCCCGUGGUAGACCACCACGUUGAUAGGCCGGAAGUGUAA